GCUAUUAGAUGAGCCUAUAUUAGAUUAGCUAGUUGGUGGAGUAAUAGCCUACCAAGGCAAUGAUCUAUAGCUGAUCUGAGAGGAUGAUCAGCCACACUGGAACUGAGAUACGGUCCAGACUCCUACGGGAGGCAGCAGUGGGGAAUAUUGGACAAUGGGCGAAAGCCUGAUCCAGCCAUGCCGCAUGAGUGAAGAAGGCCUUUGGGUUGUAAAGCUCUUUUAGUGAGGAAGAUAAUGACGGUACUCACAGAAGAAGUCCUGGCUAACUCCGUGCCAGCAGCCGCGGUAAUACGGAGAGGGCUAGCGUUAUUCGGAAUUAUUGGGCGUAAAGGGCGCGUAGGCUGAUUAAUAAGUUAAAAGUGAAAUCCCGAGGCUUAACCUUGGAAUUGCUUUUAAAACUAUUAAUCUAGAGAUUGAAAGAGGAUAGAGGAAUUCCUGAUGUAGAGGUAAAAUUCGUAAAUAUUAGGAGGAACACCAGUGGCGAAGGCGUCUAUCUGGUUCAAAUCUGACGCUGAAGCGCGAAGGCGUGGGGAGCAAACAGGAUUAGAUACCCUGGUAGUCCACGCUGUAAACGAUGAAUGUUAAAUAUGGGAAGUUUA
rnacentral:rRNA from 1 species